GCACUGCUGACGAGUCCCAAACGGGGCGAAACAGCCGUCCAGUGC
rfam:Echinostoma caproni strain Egypt genome assembly, scaffold: ECPE_scaffold0005925